GAUGUGCUCGCGGCCUAUCAGCUUGUUGGUGGGGUAAUGGCCUACCAAGGCUUUGACGGGUAGCCGGCCUGAGAGGGUGACCGGCCACACUGGGACUGAGACACGGCCCAGACUCCUACGGGAGGCAGCAGUGGGGAAUAUUGGACAAUGGGCGGAAGCCUGAUCCAGCAACGCCGCGUGAGGGAUGACGGCCUUCGGGUUGUAAACCUCUUUCAGCACAGACGAAGUUGCUCCCACGUGUGGGGGUGGUGACGGUAUGUGCAGAAGAAGCACCGGCCAACUACGUGCCAGCAGCCGCGGUAAUACGUAGGGUGCGAGCGUUGUCCGGAAUUAUUGGGCGUAAAGGGCUCGUAGGCGGUUUGUCGCGUCGGGAGUGAAAUCCACUGGCUUAACUGGUGGCUUGCUUUCGAUACGGGCAGACUGGAGGUAUGCAGGGGAGAACGGAAUUCCUGGUGUAGCGGUGAAAUGCGCAGAUAUCAGGAGGAACACCGGUGGCGAAGCGGUUCUCUGGGCAUGUCCUGACGCUGAGGAGCGAAAGUGUGGGGAGCGAACAGGAUUAGAUACCCUGGUAGUCCACACCGUAAACGUUGGGCGCUAGUGU
rnacentral:rRNA from 1 species